AGUCCAUUGUUCGGGCAAUCUUGCACUAAUCUCUUGAACCUCGCCCACGCAUCACUGAGCGAUUCGUCUUCUUCUUGUUCAAAAUUUGUGAUUUACUUUCUCCUUCU